AUCGAACGCUGGCGGCAGGCCUAACACAUGCAAGUCGAACGAGUGGCGGACGGGUGAGUAAUGUCUGGGAAAAUGCCUGAUGGAGGGGGAUAACUACUGGAAACGGUAGCUAAUACCGCAUACCAUCGGAUGUGCCCAGAUGGGAUUAGCUGGUAGGUGGGGUAACGGCUCACCUAGGCGACGAUCCCUAGCUGGUCGGAGAGGAUGACCAGCACGUCUGGAACUGUGAAACGGUCCAGACUCCUACGGGAGGCAGCAGUGGGGAAUAUUGCACAAUGGGCGCAAGCCUGAUGCAGCCAUGCCGGGUGUAUGAAGAAGGCCUUCGGGUUGUAAAGUACUUUCAGCGGGGAGGCGUUACCCGCAGAAGAAGCACCGGCUAACUCCGUGCCAGCAGCCGCGGUAAUUC
rnacentral:rRNA from 1 species